UACGUAGGGGGCAAGCGUUGUCCGGAUUCAUUGGGCGUAAAGAGCGUGUAGGCGGAUUGCUAAGUCAGGGGUGAAAUCCUGGAGCUCAACUCCAGAACUGCCUUUGAUACUGGCGAUCUCGAGUCCGGGAGAGGUGAGUGGAACUGCGAGUGUAGAGGUGAAAUUCGUAGAUAUUCGCAAGAACACCAGUGGCGAAGGCGGCUCACUGGCCCGGUACUGACGCUGAGGUGCGAAAGCGUGGGGAGCAAACAGG
rnacentral:rRNA from 1 species